UACGUAGGUGGCAAGCGUUGUCCGGAUUUAUUGGGCGUAAAGGGAGCGCAGGCGGUGACUUAAGUCUGAUGUGAAAGCCCACGGCUCAACCGUGGAAGGUCAUUGGAAACUGGGUCACUUGAAUAUAGAAGAGGAAAGUGGAAUUCCAUGUGUAGCGGUGAAAUGCGUAGAGAUAUGGAGGAACACCAGUGGCGAAGGCGGCUUCCUGGUCUGUAACUGACACUGAGGCGCGAAAGCGUGGGGAGCAAACAGGAUUAGAUACCCGGGGUAGU
rnacentral:rRNA from 1 species